rnacentral:rRNA from 1 species
UUGUGGUUAAACCGCAAAUAAGUGCAGAUGGUGGAUGCCUUGGUAUGGAAUGACGAUGAAGGACGUAGCAGCCUGCGAUAAGCCUCGGUGAGGUGGCAAGCAACCUUUGACCCGGGGAUAUCCGAAUGGGGUAACCCAAUCUGAUGGAAGAUCAGAUUAUCAGCCGCUGAAUUCAUAGGCGGUUAGAAGACAACCUGGGGAAGUGAAACAUCUCAGUACCCAGAGGAAGAGAAAACACCGAUACGUGGUUCUGUUGCUAUCACUCGCGCAAACGUUUGUGAGUGGUAGUAGCAGUGCCACAUAAUUCCCGGAGUAGUGGCGAGCGAAACGGGACCAGCCCAAACUUAGUGACGCUUGAACUUGCGAUGCGUGUAUAUCUUUUGAUAGAUACGAAGCGCGGGUUUUAAGGCUCAUUCAGCCAAUGUGUUUCUAAGCGUAGUAAGAUAGUAGCGUCUUGAGAGUGAAUGAUUCUCAAGGGGAGAAUUAGAAAUCAAAACUUUCCUAGUCGAAUGGCCUGGAACGGCCAGCCAAAGAAGGUGACAGCCCUGUAGGCGAAAGGAGUUUUGGGCUCCUAGUUAUUAUUCUUGAGUACCACGGGACUCGUGAAAUCCAGUGGGAAGCAAGCGCGACUAUGCGUUAAGGCUAAAUACAUUCCAUAACCGAUAGUGAACUAGUACCGUGAGGGAAAGGUGAAAAGCACCCCGGUGAGGGGGAUGAAAUAGUACCUGAAA